rnacentral:rRNA from 1 species
GGAGGGUGCAAGCGUUAUCCGGAUUCACUGGGUUUAAAGGGUGCGUAGGUGGGUCUGUAAGUCCGUGGUGAAAUCUCCGAGCUUAACUUGGAAACUGCCAUGGAUACUAUAGGUCUUGAAUAUUGUGGAGGUCAGCGGAAUAUGUCAUGUAGCGGUGAAAUGCUUAGAUAUGACAUAGAACACCAAUUGCGAAGGCAGCUGGCUACGCAUAUAUUGACACUGAGGCACGAAAGCGUGGGGAUCAAACAGGAUUAGAUACCCUGGUAGUCCACGCCCUAAACUAUGGAUACUCGACAUACGCGAUACACUGUGUGUGUCUGAGCGAAAGCAUUAAGUAUCCCACCUGGGAAGUACGAUCGCAAGAUUG